rnacentral:rRNA from 1 species
UACGUAGGCAGCGAGCGUUGUUCGGAGUUACUGGGCGUAAAGGGUGUGUAGGCGGUUUUCUAAGUUUGGUGUGAAAUCUCCCGGCUCAACCGGGAGGGUGCGCCGAAAACUGGGAGACUAGAGUGCGGGAUGGGAGAGUAGAAUUCCUGGUGUAGCGGUGAAAUGCGUAGAUAUCAGGAGGAAUACCGGUGGUGUAGACGGCUCUCUGGACCGCCACUGACGCUGAGACACGAAAGCGUGGGGAUCAAACAGG